rnacentral:rRNA from 1 species
GAUGAACGCUGGCGGCGUGCCUAAUACAUGCAAGUCGAGCGAACGGACGAGAAGCUUGCUUCUCUGAUGUUAGCGGCGGACGGGUGAGUAACACGUGGAUAACCUACCUAUAAGACUGGGAUAACUUCGGGAAACCGUAGCUAAUACCGGAUAAUAUUUUGAACCGCAUGGUUCAAAAGUGAAAGACGGUCUUGCUGUCACUUAUAGAUGCAUCCGCGCUGCAUUAGCUAGUUGGUAAGGUAACGGCUUACCAAGGCAACGAUGCAUAGCCGACCUGAGAGGGUGAUCGGCCACACUGGAACUGAGACACGGUCCAGACUCCUACGGGAGGCAGCAGUAGGGAAUCUUACGCAAUGGGCGAAAGCCUGACGGAGCAACGCCGCGUGAGUGAUGAAGGUCUUCGGAUCGUAAAACUCUGUUAUUAGGGAAGAACAUAUGUGUAAGUAACUGUGCACAGCUUGACGGUACCUAAUCAGAAAGCCACGGCUAACUACGUG